GUGUCAGCAGCCGCGGUAAUACGUAGGGUGCGAGCGUUAAUCGGAAUUACUGGGCGUAAAGCGUGCGCAGGCGGUUCGUUAUGUCCGUUGUGAAAGCCCCGGGCUCAACCUGGGAAUGGCAAUGGAAACUGGCGGGCUAGAGUGUGGCAGAGGGGGGUGGAAUUCCGCGUGUAGCAGUGAAAUGCGUAGAGAUGCGGAGGAACACCGAUGGCGAAGGCAGCCCCCUGGGCUAGCACUGACGCUCAGGCACGAAAGCGUGGGGAGCAAACAGGAUUAGAAACCCCAGUAGUCC
rnacentral:rRNA from 1 species